AGCGAACGCUGGCGGCAGGCCUAACACAUGCAAGUCGAACGAACCUUUCGGGGUUAGUGGCGGACGGGGGUGUAACACGUGGGAACGUGCCUUUAGGGUCGGAAUAACUCAGGGAAACGUGUGCUAAUACCGAAUGUGCCCUUCGGGGGGAAGAUUUAUCGCCUUUAGAGCGGCCCGCGUCUGAUUAGCUAGUUGGUUGAGGUAAUGGCUCACCAAGGCGACGAUCAGUAGCUGGUCUGAGAGGAUGAUCAGCCACAUUGGGACUGAGACACGGCCCAAACUCCUACGGGAGGCAGCAGUGGGGAAUCUUGCGAAAUGGGCGAAAGGAUGAAGCAGCCAGGCCGCGUGAAUGAUGAAGGUAUUAGGAUUGUAAAAUUCUUUCACCGGGGACGAUCAUGACGGUACCCGGAGAAGAAGCCCCGGCUAACUUCGUG
rnacentral:rRNA from 1 species